GAGGGCCAGAUACUGUAAACACCCUACACUCUCAGCUGUGCACAGUGAGAAAGCUGGGAGAAGGCUGUUUACUCUCUCUGCCUU
ensembl:miRNA bta-mir-30f bta-mir-30f